rnacentral:rRNA from 1 species
GACGAACGCUGGCGGCGUGCUUAACACAUGCAAGUCGAACGGAAAGGCCCUGCUUUUGUGGGGUGCUCGAGUGGCGAACGGGUGAGUAACACGUGAGUAACCUGCCCUUGACUUUGGGAUAACUUCAGGAAACUGGGGCUAAUACCGGAUAGGAGCUCCUGCUGCAUGGUGGGGGUUGGAAAGUUUCGGCGGUUGGGGAUGGACUCGCGGCUUAUCAGCUUGUCGGUGGGGUAGUGGCUUACCAAGGCUUUGACGGGUAGCCGGCCUGAGAGGGUGACCGGCCACAUUGGGACUGAGACACGGCCCAGACUCCUACGGGAGGCAGCAGUGGGGAAUAUUGCACAAUGGGCGGAAGCCUGAUGCAGCAACGCCGCGUGCGGGAUGACGGCCUUCGGGUUGUAAACCGCUUUCGCCUGUGACGAAGCGUGAGUGACGGUAAUGGGUAAAGAAGCACCGGCUAACUACGUG